rnacentral:rRNA from 1 species
AGCUGGAGUAUUUUAUUACCCUUGUCUUUUGCGCACUUGUUGUUUCCUGGGCGGGUUCGCUCGCCACCAGGACCACCAAAUAAACCUUUUUUAUGCAGUUGCAAUCAGCGUCAGUACAAACAAUGUAAAUCAUUUACAACUUUCAACAACGGAUCUCUUGGUUCUGGCAUCGAUGAAGAACGCAGCGAAAUGCGAUACGUAGUGUGAAUUGCAGAAUUCAGUGAAUCAUCGAAUCUUUGAACGCACAUUGCGCCCUUUGGUAUUCCAAAGGGCAUGCCUGUUCGAGCGUCAUUUGUACCCUCAAGCUUUGCUUGGUGUUGGGCGUUUUUGUCUUUGGUCGCCCAAAGACUCGCCUUAAAGUGAUUGGCAGCCGGCCUUUCUGGUUUCGCAGCGCAGCACAUUUUUGCGCUUGCCAUCAGCAAAACGGCAAUCCAUCAAGCCUCCUUCUCACGUUUGACCUCGGAUCAGGUAGGGAUACCCGC